rnacentral:rRNA from 1 species
GACGAACGCUGGCGGCGUGCUUAACACAUGCAAGUCGAACGGUAAGGCCCUUCGGGGUACACGAGUGGCGAACGGGUGAGUAACACGUGGGUGAGCUGCCCUGCACUUCGGGAUAAGCCUGGGAAACUGGGUCUAAUACCGGAUAGGACUCCUGGCUUCAUGGUUGGGGGUGGAAAGCUGUUGCGGUGUGGGAUGGGCCCGCGGCCUAUCAGCUUGUUGGUGGGGUAAUGGCCUACCAAGGCGACGACGGGUAGCCGGCCUGAGAGGGUGACCGGUCACACUGGGACUGAGAUACGGCCCAGACUCCUACGGGAGGCAGCAGUGGGGAAUAUUGCACGAUGGGCGCAAGCCUGAUGCAGCAACGCCGCGUGAGGGAUGACGGCCUUCGGGUUGUAAACCUCUUUCAGCUAUGACGAAGCGCAAGUGACGGUAGUAGCAGAAGAAGGACCGGCCAACUACGUGCCAGCAGCCGCAGUAA